GGCGUGGGGGUCGCGCCCCGGCUGGCUCCCCGCGCGCGGCCCUCGCGGCGGCGUCCGGCUCUGGGCCUCGGGGGAGGGCGCUCUGCCCAGCCGUCGGCCACGCUCUGUAAGUGGUCACCGCGUGGGCCUCUUUCAUUUUCGGAAGCCGGCGGUGCGGCUUCUUGCCCUCCUUGGGGCCCCUUCCUUCAAUAGCCCGUUUAAUUAGGACUUUGGCGACUGGCUGGCAGCUGAGUCACCUCAUGAAGUGGGGCCGUGACGCUCCUUUCAGAUCCUUUUUGGAUGAACCGUAGGGUUGAGACACUGGUUCUCAGCUGUGGCGGUUUUUGCCUCCCAGAAGACCAUUGGCAAUGUCGGGAGCUUUUUCAGCCUCCUGUCUGUGGGAGACGUGUCACUAGCAUCUCUCCAGAUGACAGAGGGUACAGUGCUAUGGUACCCACAAACAUAAGCCCCAUUAUGGGGCUCCCUCUGGGCAGCAGCUACAAAAACUGGGGCAUCAGACAUGUGGACGAGCUCCUUUCUGGGAGACUGAUGGCCUGAGGGAGAACAGGAAGAUGCACAUACCAGCCUCCAAUGUCUGGAUAGUAUUAAAUUAGACACCUGCCCCCAAGGCUUUUAAGAAUUAGAGUGAAAAGAAACUCAGAAAUCAGUCCAUUAUUCCUCCCUCCAAGCUCACAGAGUUGCCGGCUAGACACCGAUUCUGAUCAGAACAAGGGGACCAGACAGGCAUCUGGAGUCAAAGGUUGGUGAAAGCUGUGAUAACCUUCCGUUCCACCGUACCAAAACUAUUCAAAGGCCACAGCAGCCAGGUUCUGCCAACUGUCCAUCCCUGCUCUGUGAUCCCAAGACACAAGGCCCUGUGCCAUCUCUACCUCUAAUCAUCUAGAUUCUGCAAGCUGCUUUGAUCUACUGCAGUUGCUGACAAGUAACUACCCAGUCCACCCUUUAAUACCUUUGGUGACACAACUCAGCGUUUCAAAAGACAAGCCAUUGCAGUUUUAGGCAAUGCCGAAAAAUUAUGAAGUUCCUUUCUAAUCUGACUAAAGGGGUUUGUAAACUUUAAAUGCUGCCCUACUGAAUUUCUUCUCUUUUCACUUACCAAUAGGUAACAAAAUAGCUUAUCAUUCAGUAUUUGAUACUAAUCCUAAAACCAGAAGCAAAAAAUCAUAGUUCUACUUGCACCAAACAGAUAAGUCAGAAUAAUGAUGAAAAGCACUUUCUACUUGCAAAUCAAAAUGGAAGAUCAGUACUGGUUCAGUUCGAGAAAAAUGCAAGGUUUCCACCUACACAGCAUCUCCUACUUUUCAGGGCUUCUUUUCACUGCAUAAAAAAUUUUAAAUGUAUCAACAUUAAAAGAUUCAGAGUACAGUCACCAACAUUAAAAGAUUCAGAGUACAGUCACUUAAAUUAACAUCAGUUCUGUCUGCAAAUAG